AAAUGCGCAAGAGAGAGAGUGCGCGCGUCUGCAAAUUCGGUAGUGUUCAUGCCUUGUGAUGGGGGGGGGGGGAAUGGAGCCUAAGAGAGCGAGAGUGAUGAAGUUUCAUUAAUGUAGAGAGAGAAAGAGAGAGAGUUGAGAAGUAGGAGAGAGGAAUAAUUACCGAGGUGCUUCCCUCUCUCGCUAUAGAGUUGAGCACUGUGUUUCUCUGAGCUCGCCAUGGAGUACAGAAAACUGAAAGAUGAGGAAAAAGAUGGGGUUGGAGUUGAUCCAGAGGGUCAUCAUGGAAAACCUCUCUCUGGUGGUAUGUUUUACUUUUACUUCAAGCAUGAAGCAGCUAUCCAUGGUUCCUAUACGUGCUGUGGACAAGUUGGGGGCUAGUAUGCUUGAUAAAUCCGUGUGGACGAGCAAGUCACUUGUGACAAUGGCCUUGACAUUGCUUACUAGCUCGCAGGCAAUACUUAUUGCAUGGUCAAGGAGAGCGGGAAAGUAUGAUUAUAGUGUAACAACUGCAAAUUUUUUGGUGGAAGCUCUCAAAUGUGGAUUAUCACUUGUCGCACUUGCAAAAAUAUGGAACAGUGAAGGCGUGACAGAAGACAACAAGUUAAGUACUUCCUUCGAUGAAGUCAAAGUUUAUCCUAUACCUGCGGCUCUCUAUCUUAUCAAGAACUUACUACAGUAUUAUAUCUUUGUGUACGUGGAUGCCCCAAGUUACCAGAUAUUGAAGAACUUGAACAUCAUCAGUACUGGUGUAUUAUACCGUAUCAUUUUGAAGAAAAAGUUAACUGAGAUCCAGUGGGCGGGUUUUGUUCUUUUAUGUAUAGGAUGCACUACUGCACAACUCAAUUCUACUUCCGAUCGUGUUCUCCAAACUCCUAUUCAAGGUUGGAUAAUGGCAAUUGUUAUGGCCUUGCUUAGUGGCUUUGCCGGUGUUUACACAGAGGCUAUAAUUAAAAAGCGCCCUUCAAGAAAUAUCAAUGUGCAAAAUUUCUGGUUGUAUGUCUUUGGUAUGAUCUUUAAUGUUGUGGCCAUCUUCAUUCAAGAUUUUGAUGCAGUUCUGAACAAGGGCUUGGAGGUCGAUAGCAUGGCGAUGUGGAAACGCUUUAUUACAGAUUGUUCUAUUGCAACUACACUGCAAUAAUGGUUAACAUUCAAGUUCAAGUUUGAUGGUAUUAUCAACAUUUGGCAUUCUCUCUUCUUCACAACUAUAUGGAUGAUUUGGGAGGAGUGGAACCGCCGUAUGUUUCAAGGAAGGACACUCACUCGUGAGAAGUUGACUCGAAGGAUCACCUGUCAUGUUUGUGAUUUGGCAGAUGCUAAGGGGUUUUUUUCAUGGCUAUUCUCUUAUCACGACUUGCAUGAUUCUGA